GACGAACGCUGGCGGCGUGCUUAACACAUGCAAGUCGAACGGAAAGGCCCUGCUUUUGUGGGGUGCUCGAGUGGCGAACGGGUGAGUAACACGUGAGUAACCUGCCCUUGACUUUGGGAUAACUUCAGGAAACUGGGGCUAAUACCGGAUAGGAGCUCCUGCUGCAUGGUGGGGGUUGGAAAGUUUCGGCGGUUGGGGAUGGACUCGCGGCUUAUCAGCUUGUUGGUGGGGUGGUGGCUUACCAAGGCUUUGACGGGUAGCCGGCCUGAGAGGGUGACCGGCCACAUUGGGACUGAGAUACGGCCCAGACUCCUACGGGAGGCAGCAGUGGGGAAUAUUGCACAAUGGGCGGAAGCCUGAUGCAGCAACGCCGCGUGCGGGAUGACGGCCUUCGGGUUGUAAACCGCUUUCGCAUGUGACGAAGCGUGAGUGACGGUAAUGGGUAAAGAAGCACCGGCUAACUACGUG
rnacentral:rRNA from 1 species